AGAUAUUCUUCUAAAUCACUUUCAAUGAUUAGCAUAUACUUGCAUCUAUGCGAGUGAUGAAGUAAUUACAUUGUCAAAGGAUUGCAAGAUUCUUAGACAAGGAGCUAAACUCUAUGUAUGUACUGUACGUCUUGUCAAGUUCAAACAAUGUUGAAGGAUUCUCCAUUUCUUACCACGUUCAACGAGAACCUGAUCAGCAACUUGCUCUCGAAAUUUGGGAUGGAGGAGUUCAGGAAGGCAUAGUCAUACUCAAUACUCCGUAGACGCUAGGCUAGAAAGGCAUGUUUAAGACGAGGUAUC
rnacentral:sRNA from 2 species